rnacentral:rRNA from 1 species
UACGGAGGGAGCUAGCGUUGUUCGGAAUUACUGGGCGUAAAGCGCACGUAGGCGGCUAUUCAAGUCAGAGGUGAAAGCCCGGGGCUCAACCCCGGAACUGCCUUUGAAACUAGGUAGCUAGAAUCUUGGAGAGGUCAGUGGAAUUCCGAGUGUAGAGGUGAAAUUCGUAGAUAUUGGGAAGAACACCGGUGGCGAAGGCGGCUCACUGGCUCGUAACUGACGCUCAUGCACGACAGCGUGGGGAUCAAACAGG